CGUUCUAAGGGCGUUGAAGCAUGAUCGCAAGGACAUGUGGAGCGCUUAGAAGUGAGAAUGCCGGUGUGAGUAGCGAAAGACGGGUGAGAAUCCCGUCCACCGAUUGACUAAGGUUUCCAGAGGAAGGCUCGUCCGCUCUGGGUUAGUCGGGUCCUAAGCUGAGGCCGACAGGCGUAGGCGAUGGAUAACAGGUUGAUAUUCCUGUACCACCUAUAAUCGUUUUAAUCGAUGGGGGGACGCAGUAGGAUAGGCGAAGCGUGCGAUUGGAUUGCACGUCUAAGCAGUAAGGCUGAGUAUUAGGCAAAUCCGGUACUCGUUAAGGCUGAGCUGUGAUGGGGAGAAGACAUUGUGUCUUCGAGUCGUUGAUUUCACACUGCCGAGAAAAGCCUCUAGAUAGAAAAUAGGUGCCCGUACCGCAAACCGACACAGGUAGUCAAGAUGAGAAUUCUAAGGUGAGCGAGCGAACUCUCGUUAAGGAACUCGGCAAAAUGACCCCGUAACUUCGGGAGAAGGGGUGCUCUUUAGGGUUAACGCCCAGAAGAGCCGCAGUGAAUAGGCCCAAGCGACUGUUUAUCAAAAACACAGGUCUCUGCUAAACCGUAAGGUGAUGUAUAGGGGCUGACGCCUGCCCGGUGCUGGAAGGUUAAGAGGAGUGGUUAGCUUCUGCGAAGCUACGAAUCGAAGCCCCAGUAAACGGCGGCCGUAACUAUAACGGUCCUAAGGUAGCGAAAUUCCUUGUCGGGUAAGUUCCGACCCGCACGAAAGGCGUAACGAUUUGGGCACUGUCUCAACGAGAGACUCGGUGAAAUCAUAGUACCUGUGAAGAUGCAGGUUACCCGCGACAGGACGGAAAGACCCCGUGGAGCUUUACUGUAGCCUGAUAUUGAAAUUCGGCACAGCUUGUACAGGAUAGGUAGGAGCCUUUGAAACGUGAGCGCUAGCUUACGUGGAGGCGCUGGUGGGAUACUACCCUAGCUGUGUUGGCUUUCUAACCCGCACCACUUAUCGUGGUGGGAGA
rnacentral:rRNA from 1 species